UACGAAGGGUGCUAGCGUUGUUCGGAAUUACUGGGCGUAAAGCGCGCGCAGGCGGUCUUCCAAGUCAGUGGUGAAAGCCCGGAGCUCAACUCCGGAACUGCCAUUGAAACUGUAAGACUUGAGGAUGAGAGAGGUGAGUGGAAUUCCCAGUGUAGAGGUGAAAUUCGUAGAUAUUGGGAAGAACACCCGUGGCGAAGGCGGCUCACUGGCUCAUUACUGACGCUCAGGCGCGACAGCGUGGGGAUCAAACAGG
rnacentral:rRNA from 1 species